AACGAACGCUGGCGGCAUGCCUAACACAUGCAAGUCGAACGAGACCUUCGGGUCUAGUGGCGCACGGGUGCGUAACGCGUGGGAACCUGCCCUUAGGUUCGGAAUAACUCCCCGAAAGGGGUGCGAAUACCGGAUAAUGUCUUCGGACCAAAGAUUUAUCGACUUUGGAUGGGCCCGCGUUGGAUUAGCUAGUUGGUAGGGUAAAAGCCUACCAAGGCGACGAUCCAUAGCUGGUCUGAGAGGAUGAUCAGCCACACUGGGACUGAGACACGGCCCAGACUCCUACGGGAGGCAGCAGUGGGGAAUAUUGGACAAUGGGCGAAAGCCUGAUCCAGCAAUGCCGCGUGAGUGAUGAAGGCCUUAGGGUUGUAAAGCUCUUUUAUCCGGGAUGAUAAUGACAGUACCGGGAGAAUAAGCUCCGGCUAACUCCGUG
rnacentral:rRNA from 1 species